rnacentral:rRNA from 1 species
CCUACGGGUGGCAGCAGUGGGGAAUAUUGGACAAUGGGGGGAACCCUGAUCCAGCCAUGCCGCGUGUGUGAAGAAGGCCCUCGGGUUGUAAAGCACUUUCAGUGAGGAAGAACGCCUGGUGGUUAAUACCCAUCAGGAAAGACAUCACUCACAGAAGAAGCACCGGCUAACUCCGUGCCAGCAGCCGCGGUAAUACGGAGGGUGCGAGCGUUAAUCGGAAUUACUGGGCGUAAAGCGCGCGUAGGUGGCUUGAUAAGCCGGUUGUGAAAGCCCCGGGCUCAACCCGGGAACGGCAUCCGGAACUGUCAAGCUAGAGUGCAGGAGAGGAAGGUAGAAUUCCCGGUGUAGCGGUGAAAUGCGUAGAGAUCGGGAGGAAUACCAGUGGCGAAGGCGGCCUUCUGGACUGACACUGACACUGAGGUGCGAAAGUGUGGGUAGCAAACAGGAUUAGAUACCCCAGUAGUC